ACAAAACGCGGGAACGAGUGAAAAUCCGCACCAAAAAUCAAAACCCCUCGUCUCACUUCACUUUUGCCCUAAUCUAUAUUUUUUCUUUCUCUAUCGGAAAUCUCUCUUUCUUUCUCUCCGUCGCUGAAGCACCAUCGGCUGUGGCCAUUUCCGAGGACAAUCGGUGAGAUUUCUCAAACUGUAAGAAGGAGGACCAUCGGAAAGAUUUCUCAAAGUGCAAGGAGGAGGACCAUCGGUGAGAUUUCUCGAAGUGCAAGGAGGAGGACCAUCGGCGAGAUUUCUCGAAGGAGCAGUAAAACUUUUAGAGUCUCGUUCUUGGCCAUAUCGAGCAGGUGAACGAAUGCACAUCAGUCUUGCUACGUUUUGCAAAGAAGACUAACAUCCCCGUUCGUUUGGUGAGGAUACAUUGUUCAAAAUCUAAUCAAUUUUCAGUUUUUGUUACUUGAUUUACAUUUGCUGAAGAAUGGGAUUUCUUCCAAUUAAUGCUGCUAGGUUCAAUAUCGGUCCACAUACUAGUUCUGUGCUUUUCAAUACUCUAAAAUGUGAAGGGAAGCCAAAAUUGAAAUUCUUGGGAUGCAUACUAAUUAUUAUCUUCAUUUUCACAUCUAGGUCGAGUGUUAAAUGUUUUUUUUCUUGAGUCCCUUAAGUUGCAUUUUGCCAGAGCUGGGGUCUCUAUAUAUAUAGAUAUUUUUGGGCAUGUUUGCACAUCAAAGUCUGAAAAUUUAUGGUUGUUUUGAAGGAUAAGUGCUUGAUAAUGGACUGUAAUUUGGAAGCAGAUGACUCAAACAGAUGUUGGCUCUGGCAGAUGAUCAAUUGGUCAUUUUUGCUUCAUUAUUUGGUGGUUUGUUGCAUGUGGGAGCCGAUGAUAUUGUUUUGCUGUUUGAAUUUGAAAAGUUUUAUUAGUUUCGAAAGUAAGAAGAUAGUUGUAAUCGUCAAUCUUCAUUAUAUGUUUUGCACUUCUUUACAAUU